UGGAAAUAUGACUGUGUGGUAGCUUUCUCCAGGCAUAUGAAUAUAGACUGAGUUUUGGACCAGAGAGACAUGGUUUAUGUGCAAAAGGCAGGCUAGAAUCGCUAAGAAAACUUGCUCUGCAUCAGCUCUGUGUGUGGACAAAGAGGCUCAGAAGAACUUCCAGAAUAUCCUUCAAAGCUGAAACUGAACUAGCAGUGAAACCAUUUGAUGAUUUGAUGAGGAAGGUCAACUGCUGUCAGAUCUCAGUGACCUAAAACUGCAAUGCCGUCUAUAAGAACACUCUCCUCUGUAGUGUGGACAGAGAGGACUACCAUUGACAUGUCAAAUUGAGUGGACUCCUCAGGCAAGUCGUUUAUAAAUAUAUCAAAGGGCUGACAUUAGUCCAUUCCAGCAAUUUUUUUUUUUUCUGGAAAGUCUUGACUUGUGUGUACCAUCCCUUCUUGGUCUAAAAAACCCUCUA